rnacentral:rRNA from 1 species
AAUUGACCAUUCUUUUAAUCGAGAUUUUCGUCCGUUCGGGUAACAAUUGAGACAGGUGGUGCAUGGUUGUCGUCAGCUCGUGUCGUGAGAUGUUGGGUUAAGUCCCGCAACGAGCGCAACCCUUGUGUUUAGUUGCAAACAGGUCAAGCUGUGCACUCUAGACAGACUGCCGUGGACAACACGGAGGAAGGUGGGGAUGACGUCAAAUCAUCAUGCCCCUUAUGAUCUGGGCUACACACGUGCUACAAUGGCCGGUACAACGGGCAGCGAAGGAGCGAUCCGGAGCGAAUCCUAAAAAGCCGGUCCCAGUUCGGAUUGCAGGCUGAAACUCGCCUACAUGAAGUUGGAGUUGCUAGUAAUCGCGAAUCAGAAUGUCGCGGUGAAUGCGUUCCCGGGUCUU